GCACAAAACCCAAUGAUGGAAUAAAUUAAAAGAGAAGGUAUAGAAACAUGCUACAAAAUCUACUAUUUGUGUUAGAAGAUGUUUCACUGUAUUUAUUCGCAUUGGGAUUUCAGAGCAGCCAGGCCUUUGUAACUACCAAAUCCUUGCUAUUUGGUUUUUCCAUUUAAAUUUUCUUUAAGUUGAAGUUACUGGUAUUUCAGAACUGUCAUUUGGGUGGUAAAUGAGCAAAUGAGACAUGGAGGAGACAGAAGCACAGGUAGGGAGAGGGAAUGGCAAGUAAUGAGAAGGGGGGCAGAUGUGCAAAAUGGGAGUUGGGGGAGUAAAGAAGUGAGUCCCAAAAUGGAGCAAUGAGCAGAGGGAGGGAAAUAAGAAGAACCAAGGAGCUUGGGGGAGCAUUGCAUAAUUUUCAUCAGUCCAAGCAAUAUGGUUAUAUGGCUUCCAGUUGUCACUCCCUCUAAAUGUGAAGUGCCAAUAGGACUAGAUGCAAAAUCAGGUCACUGAGAAAUGACCUAAUUUCAGCCUCCCUGGAAAAAAAAAUCUCUAAAGCUUCUAAAAAUGCAAUUAAAAAACCCGCAACUUUAAGGAGUCCCCAACUAAGCAUGCUUAGUAGUUGUGUCAGUUGGAAAAGACUAAUGAAAAAAUGGGUGGGGGAGGCUUUUCUGUUUAACCUGACUGGUACCCUAAUCUCUUCUGUUAGGGAGUGAUGGAACAUUGAGACUCUGCGGCAGGUCCCCUUGUCUACACCUACUACACAACUAAUUGAAGAUUGAGAAAACAGAACAUUCAAUGGUGCAUUUCAGUAUUUCACUAUAAGAUCCCCACAUUCAAAAAUGUAGUGCAAAUAGUGUUGCUUUCAUUGACAGGCUAAAUUUAGCUGCCCUUGGCUGGCUUUGUUUUGGUAGUUUAAAAUGUAUUCUGUGAAUGAGCCAAUGACAGGGGAAUAUUUGUGUUCCUCAUUAUGUCUCCCUAAGAAUGGGUAGAAACUGAUAUGAAGUGAGUCCUCAAAGGGAGCAAGAGAGGUUCACUGUCACCAAUGAGAAAAUCAAAAUAAUGUUAUAAAAGCUGACUUGAAAAUGUUUCACAGAAGGGGAUGCCUUAACUGGUUCAAAAAUGGUGCCAUGCGUUACUUAAUGGAAUCAUCAUGCUUUCUGCUGCAGGAAUGACGAGAAAUUCCCAGCAUGUUAUUGUUGUUGCUAUUAUUACAGUUCCUUAGAAAUUCUCAUGCAUAUAAUGGAUCCGUUGCUGUUGCUGUCUACAGCUGUAAAAUCUGAAGGCUUUUUAAACUCCUCUCUGCUAAUGAACUAUUGUCUACGGGAAAGCCUUGAAACAACCUUGGGGCAAAUCCUAGCUCUCUAACAGCUGGAGUAGGGAGAGGAGGUUAAAUGAUCAAGUUAUACUGUGUAAUUAGUGAUUCUUCCAACUGGAAGUGUCUAGCAAAGAAGCAUUCGUCAUUUUUGUUCUCUUAUCAAUCACUACCAGUUUUUAUCUAAGGCAGGCAUGGGCAACCUUGGCCCUCCAGAUGUUUUGGGACUACAACUCCCAUGAUCCCUAGCUAACAGGACCAGUGGUCAGGGAUGAUGGGAAUUGUAGUCCCAAAACAUCUGGAGGGCUGAGGUUGCCUAUGCCUGAUCUAAGGGAAUGAGCUAUUCAUUCUACAUUUAUUUUAUAAGUCCUCAUGUCUUUGGGGAGUGUGCCUAGAUAAGAAUUUAACUCCACAUGGGCUUUAGCAAAAGAAGGAAAGGUGAAGCACUCCUUGCUUCUUCAUAGUUUUGUGUUUUUGCGUGUGAAGACCCCCCCAAACCACCCUCAAAAUAAAAACACAACAGACACAGAUUUUGUUUAAGGUUUUUGGCAUAAAUUUGGCCACAACUUUACUGAUUACAGCAUGUGAGUGGUUGCUUAGGCAUUGGUUCCAGACUACCUGAAUCUGCACGACAACAGGAACAGGACUGACACUGGGCACCACCAUAUGUCAGUAAGGGAAAGCAUCCUGCGGGAGUGAGAACUCCUUAGACCUCACAGCUCACCCCAGAUGCUCCAGGGGCUCUGGCAUGGCCCUAGCCCCUUGACAGGGUUCGGACAAAAGCAAGGUGAGCCCCUGGAUUCCUUUAACGGAAUUCCCUAGCAGCAGCAAUGGAGGGGCAGGCACAGCCAACCACAUCCCCUCCCCAAAACAUUGAACCAAAUGCCUAACUGCUAACCUUACAAAGUUGUGAUGAUUUGCUACAUGAUAGGCAAAAACCAAGUGGCACCAGCCAAUCAGCCAAAUGGCAAAAUUCCUACCGGGCCCCUGCUCCAAAACAGACAACCCCUAGACAGGCAUAGCAAGGCCAAUAGAACAACCCUAAAUAUAGGGAGAGGAGGGUGGGAGAUCCACUGCACGUCACAAGAAAGAGAAACUCUCCAGCGAUGUGCAGCAGCUUAAAAGCCCAUAGGAAGCCAAUAGCCAUCCCAACCAGGCACAUUUCUGCCCCAGCAACAGAGGGCGUUGAGGCAAUCCAAACGGUCCCACCCCACAAAAGGGAGCCAGUUUCUGGUGAUCUCACCAACACGUGCCCUCCGUGAUGGAGGAUACAACUUUUCAGGUGGUGGGUAUUACCCAAAAUCACCUUGAGAUAUAUACUACAAUUAGGGCAGUUUCUAAAGCUUGAAAGUUAUGCAUAACCAUAACAAUAAUAGUGGCCAAAUGUUCAUUUACUUCAGUUCUGGCAGCCACUUUCCUUCUGUGGAAUGCUGAGGCAAAAAAGCCGCUCUCCUCUGCCCUGGUCAUCACAAGCUAUCAGGGCUGCAGAUACACCACUCCUCAUCCCCCUCUGCCCCAGUUAUAACUCUGCUCUUAAGUUAAUGCAUUUGCAAACAACAGCAACCACAACAGUGGGGAUGAAAGAAAAAGGCGGAAACAAACUCACUCCAAGCAUACCUACAGUUAUAGCACAUUAAGAAAGGGACAUAACCUUAUAAUGAUUAUUUAUUUUAUUUGAUAUUUCAAGCCAUUCUGCAAUAUUAGAUUAUUCUUUGGGGUCAUCGUUCCCCCCCCCCCCUUAUUGUAAGUGAAAUUCAGUGACAAUACUUAAAGUCUACACACUUUUCCAGUACAAAUCAUUCCAGGGUUUAUUAUCUUAAAAACGAAAAUGCCUUUAGUUCAGUUGGUAGAGCAUGAGACUCUUAAUUUGGCAUUGUGAGUUUGAGCCCUAAAUAGAGCAAAAAAAUAAAAAUAAAAAUCUGCAUUGCAGGUGGUUGGACUAGAUUACUCUUGCAGUCCCUUCCAACACUACCAUUCUAUGAUUCUAUGAUGUUUCUGGCAGUGACAAACACCUUUGGAAAAAAGAUACUUUCAUAUUUCAAAUAAAUGCUUGUGUCUACUUUUGAACAAAUAAAAAAUGCUGCCCAUUUCAAAUGUUAAGAUUUUCUUCAUAGUUUGUGGAUUUCAGUGGGUCUCCUUUGAAUAUGGCUUAUUUGAAAAGAACCCUAAUUAUUUAUAAUAAAAUAAAAUGGGGAAGAAACUUGUCUCCCUCUCAGUUUUAUCUAUGCGUGGAGAGGGAAUUUGGAUGAUUAUUUCCUUUUUGCGACCUUCGUAUCUCAUGUCAAGCAAUAUUGAUUCUUGCUAUAUUUAAGUGGGCCCUGUGCAUUUUUGUUAUGAGGAGUCAACCAAGAUUCUUGCAGCAGCAGAGGUUAUUUCUAUUUUUAUGCAUUACAAAUAAAUGUUGGCUGAGGAAUCCUUUUCUGAAAGAAAUGCUUUCAGGAUGAUUAAGUUUAGUAAUAACCUGCAUGCUUGCAGCAUGACAAACACAGCUUAUAUAAAGGUGUUGGGAAGAGUGCUUUCUUCGUGUACAGAUGCUACAUUUCUGUUAAUACAAACUGAGUCCCAACUGUUCCAGCUCCUCGUGUAAGUAAUUUAUGUGGGAAGGAAUCAGGGUUGCUAGCAAACUCCAACCCAAAUCAACAUUUUCACCUGAAUGUAGUAGAGGGUCUUUCUUUGUUGAUUUCUUUCACACUUUUCACACUAGUCAUAUGGAUUUGGACUGAGUCCUUAGAGUUCCUGAGGCAUUGUGAAUGGAGGUAUCUUCACCAUAUAUCAAGGACUGGAAUCUUUAGACAGCUUUAAUACCACAAAUUGGGUAUACCAGAAAGUGGGGGAAUCAGUAGGCCUUCAUACAUUCAUAGAAUCAUAGAAUUGGAGAGUUGGGAGGGAUCACAAGAAUCAUCUAGUUCAACCCCCUGCAAUAUAGAAAUCUUUUGCCCAGUGUGGGGCUCAAAUUCAUGACCCUGAGAUUCAGAGUCUCCUGCUCUAUUGACCAAGCUAUCCAGAGAUGUUGGACUCCAACUCCCAUCGGUCCUAGCCAACAUGAGCAAUGGUCAACAAGGAGACCAUAUCUUUGCCAUCCUUUGUCUUCCUAAUGCCACCUGUCGCUUUGUGGCCAGAAACGCUCAGUUUGUGGCAGUGAAAUGGGAAAUUAGAACUGGGCAUUGCUGAAUGCCCACUGUACAACUGGGGAUGCUAGGAAAUGUGAGAACUAAUCUCCCCAUGGGAAUACUUUGGAGGUGAUGCCUCCCUUUUAUGCCAUUAGGAACAUAAUGGUCUGGCGUCUGGAUUAAGAUUGCAUGUUAAGGAGAGGCCAGGAGCAGUCUCAGGUUGAACUGUUGUCACUGUCAUUAUAGCUUACUAUAUGUUGGGAUUUUUUUUAAAAAAAUAUAUAUAUAUAUAAAAUAUGGCAGAGCAUUCAAAUGUGUAACUCCACCCCAGUCACUAGCUAGGAACAGAAGAAUCUGACCAUUUUACUUCUCUCAGCUUUUCAUUUUUCCUAUCUUAUAUUCAGUUCUCCACAUUUAUUCAGCAAUUUGAGGAACUUUUCAAAAAGUUUGUUUUAAAUAAACAUACAGUGGUACCUCAGUUUAAGAACAGCCCUGUUUACUAACUAUUCAGUUUAUGAACUCCGCAAAACUGGAAGUAGUGCCCCAAUUUGCAAACUUUACCUUGGUCUAAGAACGUAAUCCGAACGGUGGAAGAGUUUGGAUUUUAUAUCCCGCUUUAUCACUACCUGAAGGAGUCUCAAAGCGGCUAACAUUCUCCUUUCCCUUCCUCCCCCACAACAAACACUCUGUGAGGUGAGCGGGGCUGAGAGACUUCAAAGAAGUGUGACUAGCCCAAGGUUACCCAGCAGCUGCAUGCCCUCCAGAUGUUUUGAUACUAGAAUUCCCAUCAUCCCUGACCACUGGUCCUGCUAGCUAGGGAUCAUGGGAGUUGUAGGUCAAAAACAUCUGGAGGGCUGAGUUUGAGGAAGCCUGGAUUAAGCUGUCAUAUGUGCACAGCCUGAAAUGUCUGAAAUGUACACAUCUUGUGUUAACAGUGGCUUGUGUUUUCGUUGCAAGUUUUCUUAGUCAAUAGACAGACCCGGGUUGUUCGAGGAAACGUCUUUAUUGUAGCUGUGCAGCUAGGCCACAGUCCCAAAAGACUGAAGCCCUGAACUCAUUUCAGAGCAGGCUAAUAUAGUAUUCAGUAGGCAAGUUUACAUGACGUAUGAAACAGGACACAUUGCAAGUCAAGAAGUUGACAUGAUGUAUGAGACAGGACAUAUUGCAAGCCAAGAAAUUGACAUGAUACCGACAGGAUCUACUAUUUUUGCAAGUGAGCCAUGACAUUCAGCUGCCCUGAUAAGAGCACUUCAAAGCAAGAUAGGCUAUUUGGCAAGCAGAAUGGGCAUCACAACAACUGUCCUGAUGAAAGCAAGAUAUACCGUUUUGCACACAAACAUAAGAUUACAUGAAUUCCACCCCACCGGUUCCUCCCUGCAGCUUAUGAUCUUCAAACAAGUUUCAACUGUGCCUUAGAUAAUAAUACUUCCUUACUCCCUAAGGCUGCCAACUCUUACAGUGUCCAGCUGGGUCAUGGCAACCUUUCUUUGAAUAGUUGAAUAGUUCACCCAUUAUGAGUUUGCAGGCUCAACUGCAGGCUUUCUACUCAGGCAGGCUUUCUACUCAGGCUUGGGGUAUAUCUUGGGGUACACGGUAUAUCCUGCUUAGGCUUUCUUCCUUCAUUUUCAGAUUAGAUGGAAGCUAAGAAGAGUUUUCUCAAGAAACUACCGGGUACAGGUGAACUGUGGCUAACACCAUGUGUGCUCAACUUCAGACACAACCUAAGGGAGUGCCCAACAAUGUGUACACAGCUUUACUUCUGAAGACAAAUGAAUAAGCUUGCACUGAAUAUUCCAGGAAUGCCUCAUCUCCCUUCUCAUGUCUACAUUUAAAAUGUUAGCCAAUCAGAACAGCCACCAGCCUUUUGAUUUUGUUACUCUGCUAAGUACCAUCUGGGCAAACUGCUGGUAUGACAUGCUUCUUUGCUUGUUUAGAUAUUAAGCAUUUGCGUGUUCAGACUUUUAAACCUCCCCCUUAAAUAAAUUCAGACAAGACUCAAAUUUUGGUUUGGUUUUUGGCAGAAUUUAGGCCACGGUUUUAUUGAUUACAGCAAGUGAGUGGUUGCAUAGGCUCUGGUUUGACUAGCUCCCUGCACUGUUGCAGGUAGCGCUGACCCAGGGCACCAGCAUAGGUCAGCCUAGGGUGAACACCUGGAUAAGUGGAAAGCU
rnacentral:lncRNA from 1 species